CCCGCUGUCCCAUCAGCGGUAUCCUACGGAGAUGUGCAGGAAGGUAACGACCUGUACAGAGCCUCCGGACAAUGUACCCACAGUCUCAGACUGGCAUCGAAACCGUGAGGCCACGAUGUCUCUGUCAGCACCAAGACGGAGUUGGGG
rfam:Candidatus Entotheonella sp. TSY2 genomic scaffold TSY2_scaffold00615, whole genome shotgun sequence.